ACUUGGCAGCUGGGGCUCGUCGCCAUCACCGUUGUCGUUGUCGUUGGUGGAUUUCAGUUUGUUUCUGGUUAACCUUGAAUACUAAUUGUUGUUUCACGUCGAUUUGAAUGGCACUCGGUUGGUUGCCGUGCGCAGCGUACGCGGACGCGUACGCGUUCGUUGUUUUGUAUCAGCAUAAAAAUUUCAUGCUGCCCCGCCGUCGACGUCGUCAUCGUCGUCGUCAGCUCCACGCGGAGCUGAGCGCCGGUUCGAAAUAGUACGAAAAAACUAAUCACAUACGCCGGGCCGGCUCUCUAGCCGGCUGCCUGGCGGCGGGCAGCACAAAUUGGCGUAAGCAAAACACUAUUUGUUUUGCCGAAAAUGAGAAUUGUAUUGGCCGCCGGUGGCUGUCUGGCGAGAGCAGUGGCUGCCAGGCGACGGGUUUGACUAUUUAGAAACCGUUGCUGUUCUAUUUUGGCCAGGCCAACAGAAGAGGGCCAGCAACGCCACUGCCACUGCUGCCACUAACUUGGCAGUAAUUUUAUAUCAAGGAAACCUUGAGGUUGUUGUCUGAUCGAACUGGAAAACCUUGGAAAACCAGAAGCGCGCUUCACAAUGGAUACAAUAAAAACUGAAGGCAAUUAACAUACUAAGACCCGCUAAGUGCAUCUCCCACACCGGACACCUAGUACACACCAUUCCAGCUCCAUCAUUUAAAUUCGAUGCAUUCGUAUGAACCGACACAGCCCGACGAUUCCAUUGUUUAAGUUUUCAACACCAAACCAGAAGUAACAACGAAAUAAGCGGAACAAAACAAAGGCAACAGCAACAGCAACAGCAACGGAAAAAAACGAGGUCACAAGAAAUGGAGUGCGGAGUGGAGUGGAGUGCAUCAGCUGGGUGUUAUGCUGGCCUGGUAGCCGCUGCCUGUAUAUUAUCGAUCAUGUUUUGAAAGCGAGAGUGAAGUCGGCGGCCGACGAACGGAUGGACGGACGGACACACAGUUACUCGGAUUGUCGUCGUGAGCACAACAGGAGAGAAGUAGAAGCAGAGUGGCGUGGAGUGGAGGGUGCGUCCUACACACUUGUGGAUACAGAUACAAUUUAUUUCAUACGCACGGCUGUCGACCCCCUCUCGCUCUGAGUUGGCAUUUAUCUGGCUGCGGUCGCUGCGCGCCUGUUCCCCGAACAAAGCCAGCUAUCGAUUUCUACAUAAAAAACGAAAGUGAACUCGGUUCGGCCCUGGAGCUCGGAUUGUUCGCCCUCGCAGAUAGCGCUUCACUUGACCCAGUUUUGGGCCUGAUUCGAUUUUACUUUUAGCCGAGGGCGGAACCGAGGGCAUUCGCCUCGCAUUGACCCCGCUCAAGGUUCAACGCUCCGCGGGGACAGCCCUCGGGUGCCAAGGUAAAUGGUCGCCAACAGUGUCACGUUCAGGGACCGCCCAUGACCCACCUUUGCCGUCGAUCGGUGCUCAAAGCACCGAUCCACGAUAGAAAGAAAAAUCAGACCCCUUUUGCGGGUACCAGGCGAACAGCGGCAGCCACCAGCGGAUUGCGCUGCCUGCGCUCGCUUUUUCGGCGGUUCGUUGAACUUCUGGGGCUCUAAAUUUUGAAGAUCGUUGACCGAAAGAGAGAGCCAGCCACUGUGUUGGUGAGAGAGAUAGAAGGAAAGAAAGAGUGAGACAGCGGGAGAACUGAGAGAGGAGAACGGGCAGCAAGAGCGCUGACGUCAGCGGUGGUAGCUACGUUUCGGAAUCGGAUUCGGUUUCUGUUUCGGUUCGUAAAACCGAAGUGUGUGAGGGAGAGAGAAGAAAGCUGGCUGUCUCAAUUUGUAAUGCCCGUCAGACCCCUGUGAUGAUUUUGAUGACAUCAGCCUGCUGAACGACGGCUAAAUGUUUACAAUUAAUGUACGAAUAUGUGAACCAACCACCGACUAGUAUAUGUAUGACUUAUUUGGUACAGCACUUAAGUACGUACUAGUACACAAAUUGUACAUACACAGAUACAGAAAAUAAAAUAUGGGACUUAUCUCUUGCUA